rnacentral:rRNA from 1 species
GACGAACGCUGGCGGCGUGCUUAACACAUGCAAGUCGUACGGUAAGGCCCUUUCGGGGGUACACGAGUGGCGAACGGGUGAGUAACACGUGAGUAACCUGCCCACAACUUUGGGAUAACGCUAGGAAACUGGUGCUAAUACUGGAUAUGUGCUCCUGCUGCAUGGGGGGGGUUGGAAAGCUCCGGCGGUUGUGGAUGGACUCGCGGCCUAUCAGCUUGUUGGUGGGGUAGUGGCCUACCAAGGCGGCGACGGGUAGCCGGCCUGAGAGGGUGACCGGCCACAUUGGGACUGAGAUACGGCCCAGACUCCUACGGGAGGCAGCAGUGGGGAAUAUUGCACAAUGGGCGCAAGCCUGAUGCAGCAGCGCCGCGUGCGGUAUGACGGCCUUCGGGUUGUAAACCGCUUUCAGCAGGGACGAAGCUUUUUGUGACGGUACCUGCAGAAGAAGCACCGGCUAACUACGUG